UACGUAGGGUGCAGGCGUUAAUCGGAAUUACUGGGCGUAAAGCGUGCGCAGGCGGUUUGCUAAGACAGGUGUGAAAUCCCCGGGCUUAACCUGGGAACUGCGCUUGUUACUGGCAAGCUGGAGUGUGGCAGAGGGGGGGUGGAAUUCCACGUGUAGCAGUGAAAUGCGUAGAGAUGUGGAGGAACACCGAUGGCGAAGGCAGCCCCCUGGGCUAACACUGACGCUCAUGCACGAAAGCGUGGGGAGCAAACAGG
rnacentral:rRNA from 1 species